rnacentral:sRNA from 1 species
AGAGAGAGAGAGAGAGAUGGGAGGGGUGACUUCAGAGGUUAAAAGAGGGUAUAAGAUCCCCUGGAGCUGGGAUGACAAGUUGCUUACAAGCUGCCCACAACUGAAUUCAGGUCCUUUGCAAGAGCAGCGCCUGCUCUUACCUGGUGAGCCAGCUCCUCUUUUUUACACUUUAAGCGACAUAUUUUUUUAUUAGCUCAUGGUCAACCAAGCUGAUUGGGGGGGAAAUUGAAAGCACAAAUUGUGGUUUCACCUCAUUUCAAGCUGAAGAUUCAGGCAUGAAGGCCCAGGUUGGGAGGUGCCUGGCUGAAGGUCACCUGGCGAGUCAGCUCCAGCGAGAGGAUGUGAGGCUGACCCCUCGUCGUCUCUUCUGCCUCCCCCCAACUCCCCAUUGGAAUUGGAAUCCCUGUAAGAGCCACUGCUAAGUACUGGAGAUGGCUGCUGGACAGCGUUCCCUGAAGUCUGCAAGGGAUGCUGCUUAGGUUUUCACUUCAUCAGCACCGAGAGGCAAGGACAUGGUUCUGAGUAAUAUUUCAUACUUAGCUCUGGGUUCUUUUCGGUUUUGUCUGAACCUCCCUCCGGUUUCUUGGAGGGCUUUUAUGAUAUGAUUUAAGUUCAGCUUAUGGCUGGCUUUGGUACUCAGAAGAGUGGAAUUUGUCCUUUAGGUUCUUCACCCAGGGGGGUCAAUGUUGUUAGGAAAUGAGGAGAAGCUGUAAGCUUCCUCCCAGCAGAGGGAUACAUGGCAGUGCUGCCUCUCCUGCAUCUUCUUGCCACAAAGCCUUAUCUCUCCUGUUCAGCCCCGGCUGCUAUAAUCCCUCCUCUUUCUGCAGAGCGUUUUACAUGAACAAAUAAAGCAAUUUAUGGAGUAUUUACACACUGACUAGUGACUAAUUAUUCACCUGCAAGCAGUGCAACCAUUCAAGACAAGCAACAUUCCUCUACAUUAGCGUCCCUCAGGAAGGCAGCUCAUACCUGGUGGCAGAGGGAAAGCGGUUGGACGUUCGAGUUUGGCUGACAUCAGAUCGUUCAAUGCAGGAGCAGUGUGCGAUCCGUACAUGGCACCUCUGGGCUUGGUUAUCUAGCACAACCUCAGAAAGCUUACAAAAGGAGAUAAUGAAUGAAUGGACGGAAUGAAUCCAGCAGGUGUCACGGAAAAUGUGAGCGAAGUUAGACGCAACAAAACAGCGGCCACGAAGAGCAUGCAGCAUUAUGAGAUCCCUCGUUGGUGAAGUUUUAUGUAGAGCCAGAGGACAGAAAGAGGUAGUCAUAGUUUCCAAGAAAAAUGGUUAGAGAUGAAGUUAUAACUGUUCUAAAUGAUGAGAAAAAGUGACUGUUGAUGCUCAUGUCAACCCCAGCAAGCCUCUCGGAAUACUGAGGAAGGGAGGAAGAAAAACCUGCAAAAGUUGGGGGACACUGGGGGGACAGCUGGUUAGUGCUGUCCUCUGGACAUGUCAUGGCUGCAGCACUCGUGAACGCAGCAUCUGUGGUUAUCUUCUUGAGAUCAAAGCAGUCAAAAUUCCCAAAGAGGAUGGGAGAUGGACUUAUGGUGCGCCUCUACACCGAAAGAGACAUUGGUGUUGAUGCUUGCUGGCUACGAUUCGUAGGAGCAGAAGUGACGGUGUGAAGUGGGAAUGAUUCUAUUCAGCAUCGCCGUACUGACCCAAUGGGAAAAACUUGGCUUCCUGUUCCCAGAACCUUACACUUUGCUGGCCUAAAAGUUUGCUGUGAGUAGGAUCCCUUGAAGAAGACAAAACAAGUAUUGAACUGAAUGCUCAAACUUCCUCCUGACCUGAUACCCUCACGUCAACAGGCUAAGAAAGGAGUAACAGCGUUAGGAGGGACUGUUAGAUCCAUACUAAGGGUGAAGUGGAUUGCUUCUCUAUAAUGGAGGUAAAGAAGAUUAUGUCUGGAAUCUUUGGAGCCCUGGGGAUCCUCCUGUCUCCCUUUCCCCCAUGCUGGAAUACAGGUAUAUUCAUUGCACUUGGCUUUUUUGUGGAUAUUGAGGGUUGGACCCAGGUCCUUCUGCUUGCACAGAAACCACAUUGCAGAUGAAGCAAAAUUUGCAGACUCAUCACAGGAAGCCUUUCGGUGAUGGGAAAUGGAGGAUCAGAGAUGUCCAUAAACUUGACUUGGAAUGCAUGGCUGACUGUAGAGAGUGAAAUCUAGAACCCGGAUGUGCCUGAUUCUGAAUGAGUGCAGGCUAUGGCACUCUUCAUGCCUUUCUUGUAUAGGACUGGAAGUGCAGUGUAUAAGUCUCUAAAACAACAGGGAGUAGUGAGAUCUAGGAAUCUAGAGAUGUGGAAAACACACGGAGAGUAUCAAGUAUUUCCAUGACUUCUCGGGCUAUCCACAAGCUCACACACCCUUGCUUUCUUUUCUGACUGCUCAACACUAAAUUGUUUUAUGAACUUAAACGCGUCUGAGUCUGAGUUUUUUUAAUUCUCUCCAAAACCCAAUCCCCUAUUCUUUAAAGAAACAGAGAGAAAGACACAGAGAGAGAGAGAGACAGAGAGAGAGAGAGAGAGAGAUGGUUUUCAAAUUCCAAGGGAGAUCAAUUCAAAAUCUUUUUCUGGUAUUUUCUUUAUUAGAUGGAUAGAUUUCUGUUUGGGGCAAGUUCAAAUCCCAGAACAAACCUAACUCCAAGCCCUAUGUUCCUGUGAUGGGGGCAAUGUCCAUCACAUUGUAUGACUUCCACAUACAUUCGUGGGAGCAGUCUAACUGUUGGAUCAUAUAUGUGUUGUCUUUUGUCAAGUGGAAACUUCAUAGAGAUUCAUCUCUAAUUGGAAAAAAAAGGAAAUUCUCUCCCACUUCUGUCAGUCUGUUAUAAAGACAGAGCUGGGGAGUUGGCUCAAUCGAUAAAGCGAAUCCACGGCAAGCAUGGGAAUCGGAGUCUGAGCCACAGACCCCACGUUUGAAAUGCCAGGCACAGCGAUGCAUGCCCAGGACCCGUGCCAGUGAGGUGGAGACCGGAGGAUCCCUAGGUUUUUCUGACCUGUCAAUCUUGCCGGCAGGUGAGCUCCAAGUUCAGUGAGAGAAGUUGUCUCAAAAUAUAAGGUGAGGGUGACUGAGAGACAUAUACAGUGUGUAUGUGCAUGCACACAUACACCACCCACACGCAUGGAUAAUGUCUAUUUUUGGCCCACUAAGACUUUAUGCUCAGUUAGAGAUGAGAGGCCUGAACCUCACAAACCCCAUGUUGUAGAUUCCCUUUUAAUGGCCGUGUAUUGGGGGAACCAAACAGCAGCACAUUCAAACAGCAGGUUAGAAACCUCUCAGAGAACACCUUGUUAUGUAUUCUUGACCUCAAACUGUAUGGCUGUUUUGGUAACUACAGCUAAGGUGACCUCUGCAUUCUUGGUCUUUGUCAUGGCCUCCCAAGUUUACAAUGUAGCAUCUUCCUGUCUCCUGAGUGACUUCUUGUUAGAGUUUGCUUACUCAUCCAGUGACCUGGUUUCCUUUGAGCGUUGUUUACUCUUUGUUGAGCGAUGAUCCAUCUCAGGCCUCAUGAAAACCAUGUGACUUUAUUUAUUGAUUUUAGUUGCCAAUGCUUCCUCAGAUAAUCAUCGGAAAACAUCUGCAUUUCAACACUAGAGGGUAAAUGCCCUCACCACCCUCCUUUUAUUUUUUAUUUUUUAGAAUCUUGGCGAUUCAGGCCUGCCCUGAUUUCUAACCCUUGCCCUGGAAUACAUAGGCUUUCAUUUCAUUUUUCUAUUCUGCAGCCAGUAUUGAUCUUAGUAAUAUUCAGAGACUGGGAGCACACAACCAUAAGAUUGAGCUUGCUUGCCUGCUUGUGACCAGAUCAAUUUAUGAGUAUUUCUGCUAUUUUCAUUGUAUUUCCCUUCACUGUUUAUUAGACUGUGGUCCAGUUCGGUAUUAGCUCACACAAGACUAAGGCCAGUAACUGCAGAAACCAUCUGAUGACUUUAUAGACUUAUCAGAGACUCAUUCAAGAACACAAGUUUCCUUGUUAUAAAAUCAGCUCACAUUUGUAACUCCUAAAUCAGGAAAUUUUGGUAUAUUUUUGCCAUCAAGUUAAGAACACAUUUGAAAUACACUAUGGCAAUGGGUAAAGCUUUAUCUACAAACACAUUGAGAAUUAUCUAUUAGCUCCUUGGAAUGUGUUAUAAAGAAAAGAAAAAAAUUCCUUCGUGGGGAGGAGGAAGGCUAUUAGACCCUCACCUGAGACCUCAGCCAGCCCUCCUGUACCUCCCUGACACCUGUGUGACAUUCUGUCUUAGCUGCGCACGCUCUCUUUGUUCUAGGAAGUAGAAACUUACAGAAAAUGGGAUUUAACUGAAGGAGGGUGUUCCAUGUUGCUGCUAUCGAGAAAUGAACAUCCAAGCAGAUGCGAGGCUUUGGUGAUGUGACUGCUUUGGUGUUACUCAAUCACCAGUAAGCGACCCUUCAUUUAUGUUCCUAUGGACAACCUUAUUGACAUAUCCAAUAUGGCAAGGUCAGGAGUUUUUCCUUCUUUAUCCCCAAUAUAUUUUUCUUUAAAAAUCAUAUGUAGCAUGCACAUUGUGCAAUGUGUGUCUUCAACCACCCGCUAACAGCCAGUGAGAUCUCUCUCUCUCUCUCUCUCUCUCUCUCUCUCUCU